rnacentral:lncRNA from 1 species
GGAGGGUUAAGCGAUGGCCGAGCGGGUUCACGACGGAGGGUAACUUGGUGUAGUUUCACACCUCCGGCGAGCAAUCUCCACUACUCCCACGGCGCCCCGCGUGCGCGAGUCCCUUCACCAGCACCCAUCUCGGCCACCCUCCCAGUCACCAAGGUCCCGCUCGAUGUGGCCGGCCACGCCUUCGCGGCGGCGCUUUCCCCACUACUCUCUGUUUAGCGGUGGCGAGUCCAUGGACGCGGAGCUCUCGGGGACUGGUUCAAAGGAAGGUAGGGGCACGGUCACAAGCGAUUAAAGGCUUAUAGCGGAGGAAGGACGGGCUUGCGGGGUUGGCCGCAACGGCCACAGCGAGCUCCAAGGCGGCAACUGCGGCAUGCAACCGGAUGCCCGAGGAUACGGUUGACCCCCAACAACCGCAACGACGGGACCGCAGGGAAAUCGCGGCUCAUGCGGACGCCAAAGUGCGGCACCGAGUCCCUUACCAAGACAGCGGGAGAAGAAGAGGGAGAUGAUAGACUCGACCGGUGGGUCCCAUCCCGAAGCCUUCCUGCGCGCGGCGAGUGGCACCAGGUAGCGACUAAGACGGACGAUCUGCGCGCCUGCUUGACCGGAUAAGAAGGGAGGUGGAGGAUCUGACUAGUGGAUCCCAGUAGCCAGCAGGGUGCUUCCUCAACAGACCAUGCCGAAUCCCGCGGGCGCGCGCGGCAUGCGCGGCGGAGUUCAGUCCUUGCGGCAUGGUGAAGGAGACGCACCUGACUGCGAUACCCCACCAGCCGGUGAGAGUGAUACGAGCACGCGCGUCAGAAGAGCCUGACCAGUGGGCCAUCGGGCAAAGAUCGUGUGUACGUGAGGGAGCUGGGCUGCACCGUAUUUGGCGUAUGAGUCUGGUACAGCCGUGAACUAGAAGAUUUUGGUGAAUUCAGACCCAUACGCAGCGACCAAGACCCAUACGCAGCUCGUUCGUGAGGACUUCUGGUGGCUUGCAUGCUGAGCUCAUCAUGAUGAAAGGGGUGACGCAAGCUCCGGCAAGGAGAAUAAAGAAUUGGUAAAAAAAAAACUACAUGUGAUGGCACUCGAUCAUGGAGUGGGCUGCACGAAGGGCUGGGCCGCCAACUGCAUUAUGGUAAGCUUCUCUUGUUUUUUUUAUUUUGUUUUUUCUUUCUUUUUCUAAUAUUUAUUUAUUUUUAUUUUUUUCAACUCAAAUUCAAUUUUAAGUAUAAGUUUUACGACUGUAAAAUUAUAUGCACAAGCAAUAAAACUUCAGCAUGAUGCAUAGCUUAUUGAUGUGUUUUUAUCUAAUUUGUUUUUACUUUAAACAUGACUAUUCUUAUGAUAUAAUGAGUAGAUGGCCAAACAAGUAACGAGAUCAACUCCUUUCUUAUGUUCUACAAUUUGGGUAUUACAAAUCCUACCCCCCUUAAAACAAAUCUCGUCCUCGAGAUUUAGGAAGAACUAGGGAAAAGAUGGGGGAAAUCUAUGUGAAGCUCUUUUUCUCUCUCUCAAGUAGCUUCAUCUUCUCCAUAAUGACUCCAUUGUACUUGGCACACCUUUAUCACCUUAUUUCUUGUAACUCGAGUCAAGGUGUCAAGAACCUUAAUAGGGUAUUCUGUACAAGUCAAAUCACCCUGAACACUUAGCUCUUCCAUUGGUAACUGUUCCUCGGGGACACGGAGACACUUCUUAAGUUGAGACACAUGGAAUUCAUUAUGCACAUCAAAUAGAUUAUCAGGUAGCUCGAGUUGAUAGGCCAUCUCUCCAACUUGCCUAAAAACUCAGAGUGGUCCAUUAUAGCGAGGGGACAAUUUGCCCUUGACUUUGAAUCUCCUCAUUCCACAAAGUGGUGAUACCUUGAGGUACACUUGAUCACCUUCCUCAAACUCCAGUGGUCUUCUAUUAUCUGCGUAGCUCUUUUACCGGGUCUGAGCUACCCUCAAAUUCUCUCGAAUUAUACGAACUUGUUCUUCUGCCUCUUGAAUAAGUUUAGGUCCAAAGAUCUGUUUCCCUCUAAUCUGGUCCAAAAUAGAGGAGUACUGCACUUCCUGCCAUAUAUAGCCUCGAACGGUGACAUCUUCAGAUUGGCCUAGUAACUAUUAUUAUGUGAGAACUCAGCAUAAGGUAGACUCUUGUCCCAACUACUACCAUGCUGAAGGGCACAAGCUCUCAACACGUCCUCUAAAACUUGAUUAGUUCUUUCAGUCAAUCCAUCAGUUUGAGGAUGGUAGGUCAAACUAAAAUUCAACUUUGCAUCCAUAUUCUCAUGAAAACUUAUCCAAAAUCUGGGGGUAAACUGUGAUCCUUUAUCCAAAAUGAUCUUCUUCGGUACACCGUGUAAACACACAAUCCGAGUCAUGUAUAUACUCCGUCAAUUGAGAUCACUUAUAAGUAGUCUUGACCGGAAUGAAAUUAGCCACUUGGGUCAGUCUAUCCACAAUAACCCAUAUAGAAUCCUAUUCUUUCGAGGUGCGAGGCAAUCCAGUAAUGAAAUCCAUACCAAUCUCUUCCCACUUCCAUUCAGGUAUCUUUAAUGGAUGCAGUAGUCCGGCUGGCCUCUGGUGUUCAGCCUUAACUCUUUGGCACACAUCGCACAUAGCCACAUCUCUCUUUAGUCCAUACCACCAAUACUUUUGCUUCAAAUCCUGAUACAUCUUAGUACUUCCAGGGUGGAUAGAAUAAACUGAAUCAUGUGCCUCCUUCAAUAUGGUUUCCCGAAGACUAUCAAUAUCGGGAACACAGAUCCGAUUCUUGAACCAUAUCGUGCCUUGCUCAUCCUCUGUGAAUUCCGGGCCUCUACCUUCUGUUAUCAGAUCCUUGAUCUCUUGGAUUUUAGCAUCACCAACCUGACCUUUACGAAUUUCAUGCUCCAAGGUAGGUUCCAAUUCAAUAGUAACUCCUUCCGUAUGUGUAACAAUUCCCAGGUUGAGCCUCUCAAAAUCUUUUGCUAAUUCAUCAGGUAGCUGGACAACGAAAGCAGAGUUAACAUGCUCCUUUCGACUCAAGGCAUCUGCAACCAAAUUUGCCUUGCCUGGGUGGUAAUGAAUCUCCAAGUCAUAAUCCUUAAUAAGCUCCAACCAACGGCGUUGCCUAAGGUUGAGAUCCUUCUGAGUGAAUAUGUACUUCAAUCUCUUAUGAUCUGUGUAUACUUGGCACUUAGUUCCCAUAACGUAGUGUCUCCAAAUCUUAAGUGCAUGCACAACUGCAGCCAAUUCCAAGUCAUGAGUGGGGUAGUUCAAUUCAUGCUUCCGCAACUAACGAGAUGCAUAGGCGAUCACAUGUCCUUCUUGCAUGAGCACACAUCCCAAGCCUUGGCCACAUGCAUCACAAUAAAUGUCAAAUCCUUUCUGCAGAUCUGGCAUAACCAAUUCUGGUGGCGACAUCAAUCUCUUCGUUAAUUGGUCAAAGCUUUCUUGGCACUUCUCGUCCCACUUAAAUUCUCUUCCUUUCUCCAGAAGCGAUGUCAUAGGCUUGGCAAUCUUAGAGAAUCCUUCAAUAAAUCUCUGAUAAUAUCCUACAAGUCCCAAGAAACUUCGGAUAUCCGUAACUGUAGUGGGUAUGCUCCACACCACUAUCUCCUUGACUUUAGCAGGAUCCACUUAUAUUCCUCCAUUAGAAAUGAUAUGUCCAAGAAAAAGGGCACCUCGCCAACCCAAAAAUCGCAUUUGCUAAACUUGGCGUAGAGUUGAUUAUCUCGUAGCUUCUGUAGCACCAAUCUCAGAUGUUCCUCAUGAUCAUUAUCACUCUUGGAAUAAAUAAGAAUAUCGUCGAUGAAAACCACGACGAAUUUGUCCAAAUCAUGAACACCUUAUUCUUCAGAUCCAUAAAAUAGGCUGGUGUAUUGGUUAGUCCAAAUGACAUAACGGUAAACUCAUAUAAACCAUAUCGGGUCGAGAAAUUCGUCUUGGGAAUAUCCGAUGGCCUAAACUUCAUUUGAUGGUAACCGGAUCGGAGAUCAAUCUUCGAGAAUACUCUAGCACCUCUCAUCUGAUCAAAUAAAUCCUCAAUACGGGGCAACAGAUACUUGUUCUUCACCGUAACAUCAUUAAGAGAUCUAUAAUCCACACACGUCCGCUGCGAUCCAUCCUUCUUUUGUACAAAUAACACCGGUGCUCCCCAAGGUGAGGAACUCGGACGAAUGUACCCUGCCUCUUGUAACUCUGUUAGCUGCUUCUUAAGUUCCUUUAACUCUUCUACAAGCAUUCUGUAUGGUCGUUUAGAAAUAGGGGCAGUUCCAGGUAAAAGAUCAAUGACAAACUCAACUUCCAUAUCUGGUGGCAUCCCUAAUAACUCCUCUGGAAAGACAUCCCAAAAAUCUCUAACUGCACGAAUAUUGUUACCCACAAACUUCUCAUCUAUUAAGAACGCUGCUAGUCUGAUGGUGGUAGUUACUGCAACUUCAACUUCAAAUCUUUAUCCUUUGAAACUGAUGAGUUCUACGGUUCCCUUAGCACAGUGUAUAUACUGCCUUUGCCUUUCUUAACCAUGACAUACCAAGGAUCACGUCUAUAGUGCUCUCUUCUAACACUAUAGGGGUCGCCCAUCUGGGUUAGAAACACAGGGUAAGAAAGGAAGAAUUGUAGACAAGGCGAGUAGUUACGAGGAAUGUUACUACGGGGGAUUUGUUAGCUAAGUAGAUUAGUGUGUUAUCCACUAAAGCUAAUACAUUACCUUAUGGUGGUACAUGCUAAGAUGCCCAACUAUAAUGUUUCAAUCAAUCAAAGAAGCAAAUCAGACAUUUAUCAUCAGAACAAUCAACCAACAUUUUUAAUAGAGAAAAUAGUUUUAAAUUUUUUUUAGGUCUCCUAUCCCUUAAGAAGGUCAUAAUGGUAGGGAUUCCAAGGUAUAAAAUCCAUCUUGUCUCAGAGUAGAAAAGGUAAGAAUGGUCAGAGUCGAACAGUAGAAGGUGAGACAGUAUCAAGAUAAGUAUAGAAAGAAUCAGAGUAAGGUAAGUAGGUAAGGGUUUUGUCCAUUUCUAUCUAGGUUUCGUCCUACAGUCAACAUUCCUCUGAUACCACUUCUGUCACACCCGGUUUUAAAGGACAAAGCCGGGUGCAUCUCAUACAUGCGCCAAAGAAGACAACAUAUAUAAUCACAGAGUGUAUAGAGAUAAAUGUCACAAUAAUCAGAGUAUUUAUUACAUAGCGGAAGUCUUACAAAAUAAGAGAUAAAUAUCGCAGGAUCUAACAUCCAUCCUUAGCGCCAGAAAGCUGACUGGGAGACGCCACCUAGAUCGAAUCGAACUCCUCAUUACUUGACUCCACUUGAACCACCUGUUCUUCUCCUGUGGGGGGGUGUGAGACAGCAAGAGUGAGCUCACAUACGUUCAUAGCUCAACAAGUCGUGGGGAAUAAUGUGCAUGAACUCACCAAAGGUGGGAGUUCAUGAAGUGUAAGGCUGAUCAAUGAAAUAGAGGCUGAGGCUGAGCAUUGCUUUUAUAAGUUGGUCAAAAUUUUAUUAGCAAUUACUAGGUGUAAGUAAAUACCAAACCUUAAUAAUAAUAAAGAAAGUAAUAAUAAAAUAAUCCCAAAUGCGAUGCAAAUGUCCAAUUAAAUUUAAGUUCCAUAAAUUAAUCAUGUGAGGGUCCGAGCCGCUCAUGACCGUGAGCACGGCUAGUAUACUAGUUUUACACUCUGCAGAGGUUGUGCAUCUUUACCCACAAGUCAUGUUACCCAUCUGCCAAGAGAUGACCAAUCCCAUACACCUCUACCGAGGAGGCGAGGCAGGGUAACACUACGAGGCCUUUACAAAGUUCCACUAGCUUCAGAAAUCCCGCUACAGUUUAUAGGAAGCUCCAAUGCAGGGUUCUUGCCUGACCGCCAUCGCAGCAAAAUCAACCCAAGGACCUCCCUACACUGACCACUCCCCUACUGCCCUUGCCCCUUUCGGGUAAGGAAGACCUCCACUAGCUUUUCUAGUUAAUCAGCCAAGGGCGUCCCAUUAUACCCUUGUGGUAGCACUGUUUUCCCGGGUGGUCGCUCCAUGUUCCCAUUAACAUAAUGAUCUUAACAUGAACAGUAAUAAUAAAAGAGAAUAAAAGAGUAAUUAUGAAUAAAGUAUCUUCAUACCCAAAUCCACAUAAAGCAAUAGCAGGUACUACCCAAAGAAAUAUUUCAGUGGUAAACAAGGUAUAAAGAUAGCCAAAACUAGGGUAACCUAUUAGGUCCCAUCAAAAUUAACCUAUGCAGAUCAUUAUAAUUAAUAAGAACAUGGCUGGGAAAAGUAAGUGAUCAAGGGCACAACUUGCCUUCUACGAGCUCCUGCUCAGCUACCUCUACUUGCUGAACCUCAGUUUCCACAGUGGCUUGCUCGUCUACUCGCAUCAACACAAUACAUACAUAGUAUAGCAAAAAUUAACAUUGCACUAAACAUGUAAAUAAAAUACACAGUAAAAAUCUACACAUUAAAAUGAAAUCAUAGGAACUGGAAUCACUAAAUUUGGAGUUAUAGAAUUCAAGUUAUGAAUUUCUUAAGGUUUAAUGUGCUUGAAAUAGGAUUAAAUGAUAAAUUAAUUUUCUUACUGCUUUCAUGUCAAAACAGAGGCACUAAAUGAUAGAGAAUAUUAUUACAAAAUUUUAGAAAUUGGGAUGGUUCAAUUUGGAGCAAAAAUGGAAUUUCUAUGAAUUUUACAAGUUUCUAGAUUUGUUUUUGUAUUAAAAAUGAAUUUCUAUAAAUAUUUCUCUGUUUUUAAACAUCUCUGGACUGGGCCUCGAAUUCCAGAAAGCUCAGGGGCUACGAUAUAAAUUUUUCCUAGACACAGCUUAACCCACUGAUGCAUGGCGAGCUGAAUAUGAAGCACCCCGAGGACUCUUACGCAAGAUGCGCUGGCUGAAGGGGUACGGUGCAGAUCUAGCCGCCCGAUUAGAAAUGGAGGGCUCAGAUUAGAUCUAGGUUUCGCAUGAACCGGUAUGAAGCAGCUACCACCAGAUCAGGAAUCAACGGCCGCAAAUCGACCACGCUACCAGAUACUGCCUGCCAUCAGAUCGAUAACAUACGGCACUGAUUUAAUCUCGCGAAUGGAUACGCUCUCUUCUAAUCGCACCCGUCCGAAUUGGAUCGGACGGUAACCGUACCUUCUCCUUUCACUAGCCAGCCCGAGGCGGCGCCAGGAGCUCUCCACGGCGGAGACUCACCGGCGCACCGCCAAAUUCGCCUGUUCUGGCGACAUCGUUCUCAUCGUGGUGCGCAAAAAAAAAAAACGAAAUUGAAGCAAGUUCAAUUACAAAGGGGGUGCCUCACCGGAGGGUUAAGCGAUGGCCGAGCGGGUUCACGACGGAGGGUAACUUGGCGUAGUUUCACACCUCCGGCGAGCAAUCUCCACUACUCCCACGGCGCCCCGCGUGCGCGAGUCCCUUCACCAGCACCCAUCUCGGCCACCCUCCCAGUCACCAAGGUCCCGCUCGAUGUGGCCGGCCACGCCUUCGCGGCGGCGCUUUCCCCACUACUCUCUGUUUAGCGGUGGCGAGUCCAUGGACGCGGAGCUCUCGGGGACUGGUUCAAAGGAAGGUAGGGGCACGGUCACAAGCGAUUAGAGGCUUAUAGCGGAGGAAGGACGGGCUUGCGGGGUUGGCCGCAACGGCCACAGCGAGCUCCAAGGCGGCAACUGCGGCAUGCAACCGGAUGCCCGAGGAUACGGUUGACCCCCAACAACCGCAACGACGGGACCGCAGGGAAAUCGUGGCUCAUGCG